rnacentral:rRNA from 1 species
UACAGAGGGUGCAAGCGUUAAUCGGAAUUACUGGGCGUAAAGCGUGCGUAGACGGUUACAUAAGUCGGGUGUGAAAGUCCCGGGCUCAACCUGGGAAUUGCAUUCGAGACUGCGUAGCUAGGGUGCGGAAGAGGGAAGCGGAAUUUCCGGUGUAGCGGUGAAAUGCGUAGAUAUCGGAAGGAACACCAGUGGCGAAAGCGGCUUCCUGGUCCAGCACCGACGUUCAGGCACGAAAGCGUGGGGAGCAAACAGG